UACGUAGGUGGCGAGCGUUGUCCGGAUUUACUGGGCGUAAAGAGCGCGCAGGCGGUCGUUCAAGUCGGAUGUGAAAGCCCCCGGCUCAACUGGGGAGGGUCAUUCGAUACUGAUCGACUCGAAGGCAGGAGAGGGAAGCGGAAUUCCCGGUGUAGUGGUGAAAUGCGUAGAUAUCGAGAGGAACACCUGCGGCGAAGGCGGGUUGCUGGGCUGACACUGACGCUGAAGCGCGAAAGCUAGGGGAGCGAACGGG
rnacentral:rRNA from 1 species